rnacentral:lncRNA from 1 species
GGUCAGUAGACUGCCCAUCAAUUUCAGUGCCUAUUUCCCUUGCUUACCUUAUUCCUGUGCUCUAACUCAACAUCUGUUCUCCAUGCUGAGACAGGGGCAAAGGACAGGUAGCUGAUUAUCAAAGAAGAGGAAAUGAGUUGCUAAUAGCUGACCUCAGGAUAACAACACUCCCCUCCCAUCCCCACAACAGGGAAGGGGAAGGAUCCCACUGAUCACAGAUCCCACUUUCCAACACAAGUGAUUACUUGCUGGGCUGGUCUCUUUUCCUGCCUUUGGGCACAUCUGCAGGGAAGAAAGAGAGGAUGGGGGUCUAUAAAAAAGCAAAACAUCCCCACUCCCAUGGGACCCAGUUCUGGACCCCGGCUUUUCUCUGGAGAAGUCUGCUCUCUCUGUUCUUUUUCUCAAAUAAAACUUUCUUUCUGUGCGUGCCUCAGGGUUCCUCGAAUUUUUAAUCUUCAACAUUAGGGGAACGAAGACCCCAUUCUGAUUUCCAAACCCACAUCAGUGCUAACAGGUAUGCUGCUGGGCUCCCCUGAGUCUUUCCUGCCUACAGCCUGCUUCCAGACUUUCCUGAUGCUGAGCACUGCUUGGAUCUCUGUUAUAUUGAUUAGUUUUUUGUUGCUAUAACAUAACACAUGAGGCAAGUUAACUUUAUAAAUAAAAAAAAAAGCUCACAGUUUUAGAGAUUCAAAGUCCAAGAUCAGGAGCUCUAUUGGUUCAACUUCUGGUGAGAGCCUGAUGACAGAUAGCAUCAUAUUGAGGUAGGAAAAUGUGCAGGAGCAAGUGAUUAUCUCACCAAACUGAAAGCCUGAGAGACUCAGACUUUUGUAACUCUGAAAGACUAGUACUCCCUUUCUGGGAUGGUGCCCCUAAUGACCUCAGGAUCUCCCACUAGGCACUACCACUUAAAGGUCCCAUCAGCCCCCACAUCACCACAUGGAGGACAUCUGGGAGCACUCAAACCACAUCCAAAUCAUCUUGCUACUUCUGGUUCUUUAUUGUCUGGUGCUCUGUACUGCUGGGCAACCACCCAAUGUGGUUUUCUGUACCUCUCAGUGGCCAUUUGCCUGCCUGCCUUCUUGAAUGGCUGGCUGCCCUCUGAGUAUGCCCACCACUCCUCUUGCCCCCACAAUCUUCCCAUUCUUGCUGCUAGGUUAGCCCCCCUCCACCUCCUGAUAAUUGCCCUACCCGAUGACCUCUUCCAAAUCACUGGAGACCUGAUGCUUUAGAAAAGACCUAUCCAGUCGCAUUGUGUGUAGCGUCUCUUUGCCAUUCAUGUGUGCAUAGAGGCUCUGACUUCUAAAUUGCCCCAGUCUAUCCAGCUGCAGACUGCCGGCUUCUGCUUGUGCUGGUCUGCAGAGUGCCACCUGUAGUGCUGCACCUCAUGGAACCUCCUUCGGAGGUAGGAGUCCACCUGAGGGAGGCAGGAAGCAUUGUGAGUUAGAAAAGAUGUCUGAAGGGUGAGAGGAGGUGAUUCCCAGGAAACCAAGUAAAGGAUCUGCUAGCUGGGAAUGCCCAUUAGGAUCCAUAUUAACAGCAAUGCCCAUUAGGAUGCAUGUUACUGUACUUAGCUUAGUACAUGUUACUGUCCUGGCUUAGCAAGACAGUCCUACUCACUUAUAUUUAAAAACUAACUCAGUAAUUUCUGGAUAUAAGUUUACACCAUAUUUCUAAAACAGCUUUUAUGCUAAAAAGAGUACUGUAGAAAGCCCAUUUAUCUGAAUUACUUUUUAUUUUCAAAACUUGUAUAACCAGAAGUGCUUUUUAUGUUAUGAAGAAUUGACACUUAAAAUUGAGCCUGGUGUGAGUUUUACAUUAAAUUCUUAAAAUCCAAGCCUUUAAAAUUCUGAGAAUAACAAACUUUUUAAUAGAAAUUUUGUAAAUGCACCACUUCAUUAAUGACAGAAAUAGAUGUGAAAAUCGGCUGCUUUUUGUAGUUUGUGUUUCUAGUUACAGACACAGAUAUAUUGUAGCCAUCAACAUUUGAUUAGUUCAGGGUUCUGUGAAACUGGUUCUUAAAGCAAAUCUUAUCUCCAAACUGUAGUCUGCUCUCCAGAAAUAGUAACAGCUAUUUGAGCAACAGAACAAAAUGCCUGUAGUCCCAGUGAUCCUUGUAUUUUGGAGGGAGUUUGAAACACAAUGCUUCCAUUACAGAGCUAUUUCUUAUUUCCUCCCAAAAGUAGAACCAUUAACAAAUCUGCAUUUCAUUUCAAAUUUCACGUGUUGUCUGUCUGUCUGUCUCUCUCUUAAUUAGAACAAAAUGAAACAAAAACUAUUCUGACACCUUUUCUGGAAAACUGUAAGAUCACUUUUAAUGAUAAGAAGAUGUUGGAAUUUUCCUUAAUUGAAACUUUAAAAAAUCAAUGUAAAGGGAUGGACAUAGGCUCACAUCUUAAUCCCGGUGACUAGGGAGACUGAGGUAGGAGGAUUGCAAGUUUGAGGCCAGCUUCUUAAAUAUAGUGAGACCCUGUCUCUAGAUAAAGAAUUAAAAGGGCUGACAAUGUAGCUCCGUUGUAGAAUGUCCCUGGAUUCAAUCCCCAGUACUGCAAAACCAAAAACAAAUAAAAAAUAAAUGUAAAGGGUGGGUCCUAACAGUAGGCUUAACAGUCAGUCUCAACAAGCGAUAUACUGUAUGAUUAUAUAACAAUCUCCAAGUGACAAAGUUAUAGUCAGGAAGAUCAGAUCCGUGACCUAGGAUUAGUACUGGGGGUGAUGCAGAGGAGGAGACCCAUAGAGCAUGAGCAACGACGGGAAUCCACAGACACCAGUUCUUGCCACCUUACAGGAAGGGUUUCAAGAGUCCUACAUAGUAGCAGGUAGGAGUUUUUUAGAAGGAAAAGGAAAAGGGAGAAUAAGAGAGAUAAAUCUAUAGUA